AUAAGUUUCACCCAGAACUGAUAUUUAAAGAUACCUUGGAGUCCAUUUUUUCUCUUAGACUUUCAUUUCUCAGUUUGUAUCUUCAAAUUACUCAUCAAACAAACCAACACACAGUAUUUCUUUCAAUUUUUCCAAGGCCUUGUCUAAUUGUAAAUGUGCCUUACAUCUAAAGAGGCCCUCACUGUAAAAAUCUGAAGUGGGUUUAGGCAUAAAUGGGAUUAAUUCCCAAAGAAUGUCCUUUGCUCUUCCUCCCAUAAUUUCAUUUGCAGGGUCCACAGGAUGAAUAGCCAAGCAGGCAGUGAUGUGGAACUGGAGGACAGGCCUUGCGGGGCCUGUGCUGCUACACCGCAGCCUUCAGGUUAUGUUACCUUGAUAAUGUCACAGCUGCAGGAACCACACCGCCCACCGUACAGGACACAGGAAAUCCAAUUAUCUGCCUUUUAAUGUGUGGGAAUUUUACGCUCUCAUUUCUUAGACUCUGGCUCCAAUUCUGCCUAGAGGCAAACCCACCUGAGAAAGAUUUCUGGGAUUGUUGUUGUUGUUUUUAGUUUUUUUACCUGAGGAAGAAUGUCCACUCAUUUUGGGCUAAAAACAGUAUUAUGAAUAAAUCAGACUCAAAAUAGUUUGUCGAUGAAGAUAGUUUAUUAAGGGGUACAGAUCUUACUUUAUUUCACUUUCACUAAAUCCUCAAAGUGCCUGUAGUUUUAAAUUCAAGUCCAUGUUCUCAAUAACUUUGCACAAAGUACAGCUCAACACAGAAAGACAAAACAAGAACAGCCCUGAUUCACCCUGGAAUUACUAAGGUCUAUGUGAGGGCUGUAUAUGGGAGCAGGACCCCCACCUGCCCGGACCCCUGACUGUUUUUUUGAUUUAAUUAAAAGGGAGAGGGUGCAUCAAUUUCAGCCGCGUGGCAGGGAGAUGACAGUACACAAAUUGAAAGUAAGUAUCUCAGUGGAGCAGGGAGGGGGGCUGUUCUGUCAUUAACAUGGAAGACAAUUCUGUGUGCAAUGUAACAAGAUUAGAAACAUUAUUAUCAUUCUACCUCUAGACAUAGAGCCAUACCAUGUAGAAGAGACUAAACAAUGUCAAUAAACCUCUGUACUCAAGACGGAGUGAGCGUGGCUGUUAUAUUGAGCUGAAUUGAAUACCUGCAUAGGCAAGUGUUUUUAUACUGUCUCUGAAAGCGUGUGGCUCAUUCCUUGGGGACAUCUCAUAUUUUCAGGUAUUUUACUUCACACAGCAGUGAUUAUGUAUCUCAGAUGUGAUUAACCCCCCUCCCCCAACAUCUAUAUUACACAUGCAGUAUUUUAGCAUCAGGGUUCCCUUUCGGCCCGAUCCGAAGGAAUGUGAAUGGGCUGCAAGCUUGAAGAGGAGCCCCAUUAAUGAACAGUAAAGACAGAUGAGUCUCUCUCUUGCCAAGCAGGUUGCCUCAAUUGGAUUAGUGAGGCUGAGAUUGGGAUGGAUAGCUGUCUAUGUGCCAAGUGGCCAUUAGCCCUGACCAAUAUGCCAAUAUGAUGGUACACAAAAACAGGCUCAGGAUUCCCCUCAGUGAUCUCAACACUCAGACCGGAGUCAGCAGCUGAUUCCUAAAGCAUUAAAACUGUACGCACAUACUGAUAGGCUAUAAACAUUUAUCCACUGUGAUAAUAUGAAGGUUAAGUGGUUGAUUUAAUAGCCGGCGUCUUUAAUUUCGAGUGGCACCUGGGCCAGUUUCCCGCGUUGCUUUCAUUGGAAGGGAAAUACAAAUAUCACAAUGUAGAACAAGCUAUCUGUCAAUGGCUGUCACGCUGUACUUUAUGAAUGGAAAGCUGCCCGUUCCUGGCAUGUAUUAGAGCGAGGUGCCGUGUUUCCGAGGCUGAUGUCAUGUUCUCGGCAAGGCGGUGAUGGGCACUGUAGAUGUCAGUGGACACCAGGGGCCCCUUCUCCAACCAACUAUACAAAUGGGCAUGAGUGUGAAGAGCUGGGGAAAUGUUAUCAAUCACCCGGCAUCCCAGUGGAGGAGCUGCUGGCGUUAGUGUAGAGAGUCCCCCUCAUACUGAUCCGUAUAAAAGGCUGUGUGAUGUAUUAGAGCAGAUGAGCAGGGGCCGGCUGUGACACUUGACUGACAGCUCAUUUGACAGCCUUAGGAAAGUGUGCAGGGAAGUUUCAAUCUAAUCUAAUGCUGCUAGAGGAAUGAAAUUGUGGUGUGAGAUUAUGUUUUCAUGUUACAUCCCCUUUAGGACAACACGGGCCGCAUGGGAUGGAUAUGAUGUGGAUGACCCCCUUGGUUGAAAAGGUAAAGACAGAGCCAGACGUAGCGGUGGAGUCCCAGCCAAGACCUCCUGACCCGUGACUCUUCUCUCAAUCCACUUCAGUCCAGGGAAUCAGGUUUGUGAAGAAAAAACAAGAAACUGAAACCCGGCUCGCAGCUCUAUCUGUGGGUAAACAAAAACAUUUUUGUGUCAUGCAUUAUCAAUCAGCUGUCUGCUGGGGCUUUCCAAACAGGUAAUCUGUGUCAUUCAAUCGCUCUACCGCAGGAGCCGGGUCCUCCUGAAAGAGGAUAGCAACAAAACAGACAUUAAUAUUAAGUGCAGGAGAGAUCAGAUUCUCUUUGGUCUGCUCCCUCUUCUUCAUAAUAUCUGGUGAGGCCACCUGCAUUUUGAAAUCAAUAUUUCUCUUUCUCCAGUAUAGGUUUACACUCGUGCAUUAAAAGCUAGACUACAGUUUCUUAUGAUAAACUGCAUGUUUUUGAUGGUAAACUUCAGACCUUUGUUGACUUGGAAAAAUAUUUCCUUGUGCAACACUCAAAGGUCAGAGAAAAUUUCUAAAUUACACCAGAAAAUACUUUUUUGACCAGAAAACUGUUAAAGCCCAAGAGACUCAAACCUCCCAUAGUGCACUCCCACAAUAAUCAAUCAUGGAGGGCUAAUUAGCCAUUUUACAGCUAUAAAAAAGACAGUCAGCUCUUUUCAUAAAGCGUGACCUACCCCCCCCUUAAGUUAGGGACUUUUUUUAAAAUAUAUUUUUCCUGACUUCUGAAAGUUAUCAGGAACUUGUGCUGCACUGAGGAACAAAGCAUUGUGUUUCCAUAUCAGAUGAUUUCUUCCCCUUUUGUCCAGAGUGUUUUUUUAUUUGUAGAAUGAGGUCAGUGGUUGGACGGUAAGCAUUGAAUGUCAGCUGCUGUUUUUCCAUUGAAGCCGACCAUACUCAGGUGAUCAGCCCUUAGACAGGUCUGCUUCUGGCCUCUGAGCAGCCCAGUGACCACAAAACCUGAUCUCACACGAUCAAGCAGCUAGUGUCUACCAGGUCUGAACCCUGUGCACCAUGUCACACCAUCAUCUCCUGCUUCUGCUUUCUCGGACAUGUCUUUUCCUCUUCCUGUCUUUUGUGUCCACACCUCUCUGUGCAGUGGUGUCCAUGUUCCCCCGCCAAUCCCGCUGAGGCUCUAAGACUGUUCGUAUUGUCUAAGUGAUCAUUAAAAUUUAUGGCAAGCUGACUUCAUCCAGCUUGCGAGGCCGUGCUGGCAUAAGUCAUAAUUAUGUGAUGACACUGUAAGACAGAGCGUCCACGCUGGGCCCCCUUCUUCCAGGCAAGUUAAAUGAUAUAAUUAGCCCAGUAAGAGGUGAGCGCUCCGGAUUGGAUAAGUUAUUAAAUGUUUGGAUGAACCUGAGCUCCAUUUCCCUAACUAUCACUGUCUUCCUCCCGCUCUGGCCCCCUUCCCUCCUCCCUCCAUGAGCCCAUUAGCAGUUAUGUGAUACUAUAUGCUGAUGGGGCAGUGGACAGAGAAAGUGGGUAAAUUAAGCCUGACCACUGCUUGUGUUAUGGACUGCUCUUAUAAGGUGCCACUGAAGGACACGGCAAGAUUCAAAAGAACAGCACAUCACUGAGGGACACGCGUGCACAGCAGACCUGAUGAUACAGUAAUGUGAGCUCAGCUGAGUUUGUCAACUUGAAAAAUGUCCCCCUGACCUUUGUUGUGUGAGUCCCAUUUGUUAAGAACUCAUAUAUGUGGUCAGUCUCAGAGUUUUCACUUCAUAGAAAUUAUGAGAGUGAUUUUACUGUACAACAAACGCAGGUCAGACAAGCAAAUGUGUCAAAUUUAACCCUUCAGAUUGCUCAAUUUGUCUGCAGUUAAGCUGUAAUGGAAGGCAGUACACCAAGGUUGACAGGACGCCUACUCCUGGGCCCUUGAGCCUCAGUGUGUGUGUGUGUGUGUAUGCCUCUGUCUGUGAGUGUGUGCGUGUGUUGCACUCCACCAGAGGGUCUCACCAAGCAUGACUGCGUGUUAUUCACACUGACGAGUUCCACUGUUCACUGUCACCUCUCAUUGUGAGGGGAAGUAAGCCUGUGGAGAGGGCUGCAGCCAGAGGAGGGGAGGAUUGAAAAGUCCCUUUUUUUUUUUUUUUUUACAAUGAAGCAAGGACUAGUUUCUGUUCCUGUUGUAAAACGUCGGCCCAGAUCCACUAAAGAGUGAACAGAGAGGAAGAUCUCCAGAUACAGCAUGCUAAGCUGGUCUGGUUAUAUUUUCAGACACAUUCUUCCAGACAGUGGCAGAGGCCUGGCUUUGUGUGUGGCCGUGUAGCGGGGAGGGGUGGGUGUUAUGGUGUUUGAUUUGUUGUGAAGACUCGAUCAGCAGGACUCAGCAGAGUCCAGGUUGGCCCAGCAGGCCAGCCGAGAGUGACACUUCCUCUCUCUGUUUCGUCCUGCAGAGAGCCCUGACAGCAGGGACCGGGUGCUGAGCUGCGUCCCCCUGUUCAUCAUCACCACAACCAACCACCCACAGUGGGCAGGCAGAGAGAGAGGGGGGCUGGGGGGCUCGGUUAUCAGUGUCACCCCUCUCAGCUACCCCCACCACAGCUCUGUCUUUGGCCCUUCUCCAGAGAGACCAAAAAGCCCGUCUUUCUUGGCUCCUUGAUUGUUUUUGUUCCUGAGAGCAGACAAAUAGAGUUUGGACUCUUACAAAAGAAAAUGCCGGAGCUCAUCUGAUCUUACUGCCCUAAGGAGCAGCCCGGCCUGAAGGGCCAGUGAUUGGAAAAUUACAGAGCUGCUCCAGCUGUAUUGUCAGAGAGACUCUCAAACUCUUUUUUGUUCUGUUGCAGGCCAUCAGCUGAAUAACCAAUCAAGCUCUUUUUUAAAUCAUCUGUUAAUACUUUGAAGUGAUUGGCUGUUAUUAGAUCUGGAUUGUUUGUGUAGUUAUCCUAAUCUAGAUUAAGUCUUUGACUGCGAGAAUAAAUGCAGAUAAAAUGAAUGUUGGUAGAUGGUAUUUCUAUAUGGCAGGUAAAUGUUUUAAAUCUGAAGAGCCUCUUUAACAAAUUUAAUCACAGUCUUGGAGAACAAUCUUCUGCUUCUAGGCACAACGGCCAUUUUUGAGCAUUACCCACUAUUUAGCCACAAACAGCAGCUGCGACCUCUUUUUCAUCGCACUGCAUUGUUUAUUUUCUAAUUAGCAACUUAAGAAAACUGAAUUUGCAUGUCCAGAUUUGUCUGGAAGAUUGCAGCCAUCACUCUUGGUUCAUCACAUCUUCCUACAGUUGUGCCCAUCAGUCUAGGUCUUCGCUCUUGUUUACUUUAGCAGUAUUUUUUAGUGUAGUUUAGCAGUUUUCCAGGGAUUUCCUUUCAAUUUACCAAUAAUAGACUUUCCAAAAUACCAACAUCAUGACACAGAUUUAUAGACUUAUAUUUGUUUGUUAUUUGGGCGUAUAAUAGAUCAUUUCUGGAUGUCUGGAAAUGGAAACACUGAUUGACUAUUGCAAGUUUUUGACAGAUUGUUCAAUGCACUGGUAUACAGUUUCUAUUAUCUAUGUAGAUAGAUAUGUCAAUUGUCACUGAUGGGGGCUGAAAUGCGACACCAGUUUUUGUUGCUCCUCUUCUGUACCGUUUUUGCUGUAACACUAAAGCUUGCUGAUGCAUCGUUGUCCACUACUACUUCGAUUACAAACUUACUACAAAUGGACUCUUCUCAUAUGAACAUCCAAGCCCCCACUUACAGACUCUGCAUUUUAUGUAUAUUUUCUGUGAAAGGGUCAGACUAAUCUAAUCUGAACGACGAAAACUGGUCAUCAGACUUCUGUGUGACAGCAGGCAGCAGAGAUGUGGUCUCUGGCUGAAAAAUACCUGUUGCAGCUCCAGAGGGAUGUUCAAGCUGCCCAUCCCCGUCUUACAAGUGGCUCUCUUAUAAGUGAUUACAAUUGUUGGAGAAGGAGGAGUAAAACAAGGGCCUUGUCAACACAGGCCCUCCAGAUUUGAGGUCAAUUUCGCCCCCUGAUUGCACGUGUGUGUGUGUGUUAGUUUGUCUGUGUAUGUGUGUGUGUCUGUCUGUCUGUGUCUGUGGGGGAGGGAGAGACUGAGAGUUUACUGCUGCCUCAUUGAAGCCAUCAUCAUCACCUGACGAGCAGAGGUUGAAGCCUGAGUUGCUUCUCUGUCUAUCAUUUUUAUCCUUUUGUUUUUUCCUCCACCUCCGUCUUCUUUAUUCCUCCCUAGCCUCCCCCUUCUCCCCCUCAUCCCUAUCUCUGCUCCUCUUCCACCCUUGGCCCUGGCCCUCUGCCUGCUCUUUCGCUCACCCCCCAUGUUCGCAAAUCACUUCUUCCCGUGUCAGCAGGUAAAUUGUUUUGUCCUCCCAUUCCCUGCUUUCAUUACCUUGUGUAAAUUAAGCGAUAUGUCGUCCACCGGUGCGCGCCAGAGCACUCACUGCGCCAACGCCAAAAUCAUGAGAUUUGGCAUAAUAAAUGAAGAUAAACUGGCAGUAGCAGUGCUCCUCUCCGCGCGGGCUCGCCUUCAUUAUUUGCUUAACUUGCCGGAGAAAAUGACUUAACCCUGACCUGUGUAUUUCGUCCCAUAUUCACUCCAGAUAAAAGCCUUUUUACAGCGCACAACAAUUUAUAUUCCGGCAAAGAGGCUGCUUUUCUCUGUCAGUUUUCCAAUCUCAGCUCCUGAACACACGUCAUUAAACUUGUCUUGCCUUCCUGUAUUUGUCCAUCAGUCCUUCUUUUUACAUAAAAUCUGGCAGCAUUAUUCUGGGAUUUGAUGGCACCCACUCAUUUUUUCCCCUUGGAAUGUUUGAUUGGAAGAAAUAUAGCCGAGCUGGGGCUAUCUCCUCUCCUCUGUGGAAUCAUGCACUUGAUGAAAUAGUGUUCCCCCAGCAAGAAUAAUAAAAACAGACUUGUGCAUUACAGGGGGCUCUCAAUCUGCCAGCUAGGCUGAGCUGAGCAAAAAAAAAAAAAAAAAACCCACCCUGCUCCUGACAGAUUUUUAUAGUUAUCCAAGUAGAUAAAUGGAAACGGGUGACCAGACUGUGGAAGGCCACGCUUGAGCCGAGUGUGGGCUGCAGGGCUGGACAGUAACAGUGUGGGAUGAACAUUAAAUGGUCGAACACAGGAACAAGUGAACUCGAACUACCAGAGAUGUCCUGGAUAUAAGAGAAAAAUCUCAGAGAAAUGUUUGCUUAUUCAGAAAAAAAAGGCAAAUAUGACGAGUCAAAACAUACUAGUUAGUUUUUUCACAGUUUGUCCACAUGAGAGGAGGGUCUGUGUCACGAUUUGGUUAAGCUCUACUAAAAAUGAAUUAAACAGGGUGAAAAGGAUGACCGCAGAUGUCUCCUGCUUUAAAGGUGUUCUCUCUUCAAGUUGGAAAUGAACUGAUGGAUGGAUAAAUACUUUAUUGAUCCUGGAGGAAAUUCUAGCUUUAGCUUUCCAUUCACACAUGGGCACAUUGAACAUUGGUUGAGUUAGAAAGCAAAAAAAUCUUCCAAAUAUAAAUCCAGAGGACUAAAAGUGGAGUAAAACAUCAUAUAUUAAAACAAUUCUUAGAUAAAUAUAUAUACGCAUUAUUGGCACUCCACCACUUACAAGUGGCUCAACCUCAGAGUUCUGAUCCAAGCCUGGUGCUGAGCUGACACACACACGCCUGAUUAGUUUGUUCAGCCUCAGUUUGUCCACUUUGUUGAUGCCUCCUCUGCAUACCAUGGCACAAAACAGAGCACUGGCUAUUUCAUACUGCCACUGCCAUAAAUUUUUUUUUUUUUAAGCUCAAUAUGAUACAUUUUUUUAAAGUUGUUAAAGGGCUGCAAUUGCACUUAACUUUUGACAAUUGCACUUUUUAUAGUAAGAUAAUACUCUGAUUUUGUGCAUUUAGGAAUUAGAUUGCCUUUUUAAUUUUCUGAACUUGUCAGUCUCUCAAAUCAGAACUGAAAAAUAUUGAGACAAAUACUCGUAACUUCUUAAAACCGAGCCUUGUUUACAUUUUGUUUGUUUCUGAUUUGAGACUUGGAAAGUGCUGGGCUGAAACAAGGGUUGAAAAGUUCCACGGUGGAUUGUGCUUGAAGCUCGGGAAGAUAAUCAGCCAUAAACGGUGCUCGAUUCCACCUAACAGACCCUGAUUGAUCAAGUGAGCAUGCUAAUCAAUCUGGCUCUAGUGCGGAAGAGCUCUGUGUGUUCUUCGUCGUCCUCUUCUUUUUCUGUUCAGCAGCAGGUAGAGCAGCACAGUUGUGAGGAAAACACAAAAUAAACAUGGGGAUGAUUUGUAAAUGGUAGAGUGUCAAUAAUGUGUCUUUGUAUAAGAAGUUAUUUAACAUAUCUCUGCAUUACAGUGUAUUUGGUUGAUGUCAUUAAUGUUAAGCUGUUUAUUGCAAGAACUUGAUAUUUUAGUUGAAGUCACCUCAAGGUUUCUUAGUAACAAUACAAUCCAGUAGAAAUGACAGUAUGAGUCAAAAGUAUUACUGUAUCAUUAAGUUAACCAAAAACAAAAACAUAGAAGAUCAUGUCAUAUGCCUACAAAGAAUGAAUUAGAUAAAGAACAAAUUUCCUUUUGGGGACGAAUAAAGUUUUUGUAUUGUAUUGUAGAGUUAGGUUACACCUCCUCUAUUUUAUACCAACCUUUUCUAUGUUCUGCAACCUUCAUUAUUUACAGAAAAAAAAGAACUGAAAUUUAUAACAACGGUUGAACUUUUGUUGCUCUGUGUCUAAGUUUUUCUUUCCUCCGCUUUAGGGUUUCUGGUCAUUCCUGUUACUGCAGCUGCCGGUUUUGGGAGCCUGAACAGAACCACCAAUUUGUGUGGCUUACUCUCAAAUGGAAUGAAACAGACAUUAACACUGCUGCUUCCCCUUCUUUCACACAUUAAAAUCUUACUGGCCUGUACAUCACAAACGUCAACAGCUGGUUUAAAUUAAUAUUGUGUUGCCACCUCUGGUAAGAUAUGUCACACUAAUUUACUCUUGUUUAAUUUCUCCUUAUGUAUUCUUUGUAACUGAAAAGUCAAAACACUGACUUUUCAGUCAAAUAGAAAUUUAAAACCGUAUAGGCAGCCAAUAUUCAUUUAAUGCAAGGUAUUUCCUUCAUCCAUAAAGAUGACAAAACCCAUAUAUGACAUACUGUCAUCUUACACUAUGAUUGUUAUAGAUCAAAAUACUUAGACAUAUCAAGUCAUUCUUUUAUAUCCCUUCUGUAUCUUUUGUAUCAUAAAAUUAUAACUGUAUUUAAAUGCAAAUUUACAAUCAAAAUGUAGAAUAUACUUUCAUCAGAAACAGCCAAAUAUUAAAAAACCAGACACUCUGUAGCGACUCUUCUCCCAGUAUAUUAAAUUAAAUGCUGAAUUUUCUUCAGAUCAGUCUCUAAAAACUCAAGGCAAGACCACUGGGAUUGUACAGAGCUCAAGAAGUUGGUGUUUGCAGCUUUGCUCUGUCUGUGCAGGGACUCCUGUGCUCUGCAAAGACAGAGAAAAGAAUGACACAAACACAGGGUGAAAAAAAAACUCAGGAAUUCAACUCAUUUUUUACUGUAUGAAAGUUUUACAAGGUCGUUGGGAGAGUCGUGUUAACACAACACCUGAAUACCGAUUUGUUACCUUGUUCUACAAGUCACGGAGCAGCAAGUCUUUAAGCGAUCAUUAUUACCAUACAAAUAGACAGAUCUAUUUAACAACCCUCUUUUUAUCGCAUAACACUUAUUCUUUAGUGUUGUUCCCUGAAAGGCACUGAAUCCCCCCUCCCCUCCCCCUUUUUCUUUUUCUUUUUUUUUUUUUUUUUUGCAGGGAAAUCGUCUCCGGGUUGAUAAAGGCUCAGAGCAAUAGAAGAAGCAAGGCUGACAUCUUCUUAAGAGAUGAUAGGAGAGCCAAAUCAAAUAGGAUGGAGCAGUCACUCUUUUCACAGAUAGGUAGCUCAUUUCUGGUGGCUGAGAGUUUGCAUCCCUAGUGGCGCUCUGCCUGGGAAAGAUAGCUCACUUGGACUCCAUUCAUUAUUUCAUUCCCUGCCUCUUCUUUUCACAUCUUAGCUACUUCUUUCCCCCCUUCUUUUGCUUUAAUGAGUUGCCUAUUUUUCUCAAGUGUUGAUGGUAAUCUUGGAAUUUAGAUUUGUGAGACAAAAUGCUUAAUCACAAGUGUUUUUCAUCAGUGGCGAAGAGGCAAAAAUCAAUUAUUUCUAUUAGACAAUGCUGAUUGGGAAUGAAUGGAAGUGGUAGCAUUUUGAAACAAAGACUCCAUGGUGGCAAAGAUAAGUGUCAGUCUGGCCCCCCUGAGGUAUGACAUGUGGUCUGGCUUAUUAAGCAGUUUGCAAACAUUUGCCAUUAAAUCCAAGCAAAGGGUUUGCCAUGCCAAUACAAACAGUGAGGGAUAAUAUAUGAUAACAGUAUUCAAAAGUCAGGAAUUGUCAGAAUAAGGGUAAACAUUUUGACACUGUAAGGACGCCAGUGACAGGCUCAAAGGUUGUCAAACUCUUACGGGUUUAUUUUUCCUGAUUAAGGUGUAUGUAUACUCAUCUGAAUACCCUUAAUAUUCAUUCAAAUUUGAAUAUCUUUGGUUGCCGAAGAUUUCUCUGUGUUAUAACUUCUUGGUGAGAGGUGAGUCAAGAACUUUUCCCACCAACUGUUUACAGCCAAACUUAAGCAAUCAAGCACAAGCUCCAUAUGAUAUUCAGCCUGGCACUUCCUAAAGAGCUAUCACACAGCGUCACAUUCUUCACAAAUCCCUUUGCAAAUUAUUUAUAAAAAUUAACUCCUCUUGCAAAGGGCUCAUUGAAAAGAAGAAUUACAUGAAAGAUAAAACACUUUAUCGCCAGUGAAAGACUAGACAAUGUACAUCCAGAAAUUGGGAAGAUGGCAGAAACAAUGAAUAUUAAGUGCCUAAGAAUCUAAAGCUGCUGACUAAAUUGAAACUGUAUAUCCUGAGGGGGCAAGGUUUCCAAAUUGCUAAUUACUGCCUCUGAAAGAGGGCUGUUUCAGAUAUGUUUGCUUGUGAAAGACUGCUGCUUAAUGAAACAGUGGCUCAAUUUUUUUUGUAAUAUUCCCUCUCUCUGGCUUUCAGGGCUCUCUCUGGACUUUCCUCCCAGGCCAGAACAAUUGCAGGCCCUGGAGCCCAGCUUCCCCACAGGCCCUAGUGUGAGAAGGCCGGGGGCUGGGUACUGAGGGAGCCGCUCAGCGUGCUGAAAUAUGGAGGAGACAGAUAAGGUGGCAGAGGCACAGAGAGGCCCUCUCCCAGGGGCCCAAGGGGAAAUUUGCAGUUAUUAAGAGGAAGAUGAGAGAGAUUAAAUGGCUUUUGUACUCAUUUUCACUGACUUUUAUUUUUUUAUUAUUUUGGUUGCCUUCAACUGAGAGAUGAAAGAAGUGGUAAAUGACUUUUUGCUUCAUUCAACAAUAUAAUGGCCAUGAGAGACAAUUGUUCAUUACUGAUAGUGGUUAGAUUUAAAAGACUUAUUAAUACAGUAUUGUUUCAAGAGGUUUAAAGGUAAUAGGAUUCAAGUAACUCAC